rnacentral:rRNA from 1 species
UACGGAGGGUCCAAGCGUUAUCCGGAAUCAUUGGGUUUAAAGGGUCCGUAGGCGGUUUUGUAAGUCAGUGGUGAAAGCCCAUCGCUCAACGGUGGAACGGCCAUUGAUACUGCAAGACUUGAAUUAUUGGGAAGUAACUAGAAUAUGUAGUGUAGCGGUGAAAUGCUUAGAUAUGACAUAGAAUACCUAUUGCGAAGGCAGCUUACUACGCAGAUAUUGACGCUCAUGCACGAAAGCGUGGGGAUCAAACAGG